AUUUAAAGGGUUCAUAUUAGCACAGUAAUACAGUAGCUCUGUCUAUGUUCUUCCAAUCAAGUGUCCAUUGUCAGUAGGUCUACAUCACCCUAUUGUGUCUUUGUGUUUCUCUGUGCAGAACAUCAAUUCCAUCCCUGAGAGUCCUUACAGCACUGUUUCAUUCAGCGUGACUGUCAGCCAAAGCUUCUCCUUGGAGCCCCUGAAGGAAUCUGUGUCUGCACUGAAGACGCAGCUGGAGGAGAAAUUACAGUCAGUCUUCAAGCAGGAAAUAGUCAAGAUAUCUGCAGCAGCUGUGAGAAAUGUCCAAAUCAUCCAGAGCAUACAGUAUACUGAUCCUGAACUCCCAGUCAGAAGAGUCAACAGUAAGGAGUGGCUUCAACCAGACAGU